AUUGAACGCUGGCGGCAGGCCUAACACAUGCAAGUCGAGCGGCAGCGGGAAGUAGCUUGCUACUUUGCCGGCGAGCGGCGGACGGGUGAGUAAUGUCUGGGAAACUGCCUGAUGGAGGGGGAUAACUACUGGAAACGGUAGCUAAUACCGCAUAAUGUCGCAAGACCAAAGAGGGGGACCUUCGGGCCUCUUGCCAUCAGAUGUGCCCAGAUGGGAUUAGCUAGUAGGUGGGGUAACGGCUCACCUAGGCGACGAUCCCUAGCUGGUCUGGGAGGAUGACCAGCCACACUGGAACUGAGACACGGUCCAGACUCCUACGGGAGGCAGCAGUGGGGAAUAUUGCACAAUGGGCGCAAGCCUGAUGCAGCCAUGCCGCGUGUAUGAAGAAGGCCUUCGGGUUGUAAAGUACUUUCAGCGGGGAGGAAGGUGUUGAGGUUAAUAACCUCAGCAAUUGACGUUACCCGCAGAAGAAGCACCGGCUAACUCCGUGCCAGCCGCCGCCGUAA
rnacentral:rRNA from 1 species